rnacentral:rRNA from 1 species
UACAGAGGGUGCGAGCGUUGUUCGGAAUCACUGGGCAUAAAGCGCUCGUAGGCGGCACCGCAAGUGUGGGGUGAAAUCCCACGGCUUACCCGUGGAACUGCCUGGCAGACUGCGGUGCUAGAGGAUGGUAGGGGAGAGCGGAACUCUUGGUGGAGCGGUGAAAUGCGUAGAUAUCAAGAGGAACACCGGUGGCGAAGGCGGCUCUCUGGUCCAAACCUGACGCUGAGGAGCGAAAGCUAGGGGAGCAAACGGG